rnacentral:lncRNA from 1 species
CUGACCAUGGCCGUAGUGAAGGCCCCGAAGAAGCUAGUUUGGUUGGCUGCAAACCUCUUCACUGCAGACCUCGAUAGCAGGUUGGUGAACAGCACCUGAUCGGAAGAGAACAGCCCCUCGCCGUUCAGCAGAUUCCGGUAGUAGAGGUUGUCGAACACCGUCGGGGUGAAGGGAUCCAUGUUGACGGCAAUGGUCGGGUCGACAUUGUGCGGGCAAGCUCGCAUCAGCAGACGCGCGUACGCAGGAUUGAGCGACGGGUCGACUGCCGAUGAGUAGAGGCGUCCGGCGAAUCGGCUGCAGUGGGAGAAGCCAACGGUGUGAGCUCCCGAGAGGGCGAUCAUGUCAUGUGUCGUGAGGUUGUUCAUCCGGAAGAGGUCGGAGAGACGGUUGAGGUCCAAGUCCGGGCCAGGGAGGCGUCCGGCCACUCUUUCGGCCUGAGAGAUGAGCCCGUCGCGCCUGCCGAGCUCCACCGCAAAGUCGG